UACGUAGGGGGCAAGCGUUGUCCGGAUUUAUUGGGCGUAAAGAGCGUGUAGGCGGCCAGGUAGGUCUGCUGUGAAAACUCGAGGCUUAACCUCGAGAUGUCGGCGGAAACCAUCUGGCUAGGAGUCCGGAAGAGGAGAGUGGAAUUCCCGGUGUAGCGGUGAAAUGCGCAGAUAUCAGGAGGAACACCAAUUGCGAAGGCAGCUCGCUGGGACGUUACUGACGCUGAGACGCGAAAGCGUGGGGAGCAAACAGG
rnacentral:rRNA from 1 species